AGAGUUUGAUCCUGGCUCAGGAUGAACGCUGGCGGUAUGCUUAACACAUGCAAGUCGAACGGAAUCUUUCGAGAUUUAGUGGCAGACGGGUGAGUAACACGUGAGAACCUACCUUCAGAACGGGGAUAACAGUUGGAAACGACUGCUAAUACCCGAUGUGCCGAAAGGUGAAAGAUUUAUCGUCUGAAGAAGGGCUCGCGGCUGAUUAGCUAGUUGGUAAGGUAAAGGCUUACCAAGGCGACGAUCAGUAACUGGUCUGAGAGGAUGACCAGUCACACUGGAACUGAGAAACGGUCCAGACUCCUACGGGAGGCAGCAGUGGGGAAUUUUCCGCAAUGGGCGAAAGCCUGACGGAGCAAUACCGCGUGAGGGAGGAAGGUUCUUGGAUUGUAAACCUCUUUUCUAGGGGAAUAAAAAAAUGAAGGUACCCUAGGAAUAAGCAUCGGCUAACUCCGUGCCAGCAGCCGCGGUAAUACGGAGGAUGCAAGCGUUAUCCGGAAUUAUUGGGCGUAAAGAGUCCGUAGGUGGAAGUUCAAGUCUGUCGUUAAAGAAUGGAGCUUAACUCCAUAGAGGCGGUGGAAACUGAACAACUAGAGUGCGGUAGGGGUAACGGGAAUUCCCAGUGUAGCGGUGAAAUGCGUAGAUAUUGGGAAGAACAUCGGUGGCGAAAGCGCGUUACUGGGCCGAAACUGACACUGAGGGACGAAAGCUAGGGUAGCGAAAGGGAUUAGAUACCCCUGUAGUCCUAGCCGUAAACGAUGGAUACUAGGCGUAGCACGUAUCGACCCGUGCUGUGCCGAAGCUAACGCGUUAAGUAUCCCGCCUGGGGAGUACGCUCGCAAGAGUGAAACUCAAAGGAAUUGACGGGGGCCCGCACAAGCGGUGGGGUAUGUGGUUUAAUU
rnacentral:rRNA from 1 species